UUUGCCUGGGAAAAAAAAAAAGUCUCUUUUACUGUGAAAAUGGUUUUCCUAAUCCCUGCCAAGGUUUUUAACAGCACAGAAAAAUACCUAAUAGAGAUGUUCAUUCUAUAACAAUAAUUUUUCAUUA